rnacentral:rRNA from 1 species
CGGAGGGUGCGAGCGUUGUCCGGAUUUAUUGGGUUUAAAGGGUGCGUAGGUGGCUUUAUAAGUCAGUGGUGAAAUACAGCCGCUCAACGGUUGAGGUGCCAUUGAUACUGUGGAGCUUGAAACAAUUGGAGGCUGCCGGAAUGGAUGGUGUAGCGGUGAAAUGCAUAGAUAUCAUCCAGAACACCGAUUGCGAAGGCAGGUGGCUACGUUUGAUUUGACACUGAGGCACGAAAGCAUGGGGAGCAAACAGGAUUAGAUACCCUGGUAGUCCAUGCUGUAAACGAUGAGGACUCGCUGUUGGGCUGUCACGGUCCAGCGGCUUAGGGAAACCGUUAAGUCCUCCACCUGGGGAGUACGCCGGCAACGGUG